AUUGAACGCUGGCGGGAUGCUUUACACAUGCAAGUCGAACGGCAGCGCGGGCUUCGGCCUGGCGGCGAGUGGCGAACGGGUGAGUAAUGCAUCGGAACGUGCCCAGUAGUGGGGGAUAGCCCGGCGAAAGCCGGAUUAAUACCGCAUACGACCUGAGGGUGAAAGCGGGGGACCGAAAGGCCUCGCGCUAUUGGAGCGGCCGAUGUCGGAUUAGCUAGUUGGUGGGGUAAAGGCUUACCAAGGCGACGAUCCGUAGCUGGUCUGAGAGGACGACCAGCCACACUGGGACUGAGACACGGCCCAGACUCCUACGGGAGGCAGCAGUGGGGAAUUUUGGACAAUGGGGGCAACCCUGAUGCAGCCAUGCCGCGUGCGGGAAGAAGGCCUUCGGGUUGUAAACCGCUUUUGUUCGGGAAGAAAUCCUCUGGGCUAAUACCCCGGGGGGAUGACGGUACCGGAAGAAUAAGCACCGGCUAACUACGUG
rnacentral:rRNA from 1 species